CAGUAGCCGCGGUAAUACGGAGGGAGCUAGCGUUGUUCGGAAUUACUGGGCGUAAAGCGCGCGUAGGCGGUUACUCAAGUCAGAGGUGAAAUCCCCGGGCUCAACCUGGGAACUGCAUUUGUGACUGGCAAGCUAGAGUCUGGCAGAGGGGGGUGGAAUUCCGCGUGUAGCAGUGAAAUGCGUAGAUAUGCGGAGGAACACCGAUGGCGAAGGCAGCCCCCUGGGCCAACACUGACGCUCAUGCACGAAAGCGUGGGGAGCAAACAGGAUUAGAUACCCCGGUAGUCCCUGUCUCUUAUAC
rnacentral:rRNA from 1 species